AUGCUGGCGACGCCGUACAACCAUGCCGGGCCACCGUCGCCAUCCUCCUCCUCAACCAGAGCAUGUCACCGCGACCCAAGCUUGCCACCAGCUGACCGCUGCCGACUAUCCUUCAUCCCACGGGCCGAGGGAGUAGCUGCUACCAUCUCUCCUUCAUCACCUAGGAUGACGCUGUCGCGGGCUCCGCCAAUUCGACGCAUCGGCCAUUGCCACCAUCCCGUACACCGGUCGACCUCCCACAUCCCACCGAGGAUGUCGUUCACACUAGGACACAAUGUACAACCCCAAAAUCUAUUUGUGGAAGCAGUGCGCCAUCCAUGUUACCAGAUGGUAGCAGUUUAG
rnacentral:rRNA from 1 species